UACGGGGGGGCAAGCGUUGUUCGGAAUUACUGGCGUAAAGGGCUCGUAGGCGGCCAACUAAGUCAAACGUGAAAUCCCUCGGCUUAACCGGGGAACUGCGCUUGAUACUGGAUGGCUUGAGAUUGGGAGAGGGAUGCGGAAUUCCAGGUGUAGCGGUGAAAUGCGUAGAUAUCUGGAGGAACACCGGUGGCGAAGGCGGCAUCCUGGACCAACACUGACGCUGAGGAGCGAAAGCCAGGGGAGCAAACGGG
rnacentral:rRNA from 1 species